rnacentral:rRNA from 1 species
AGCGAACGCUGGCGGCAGGCUUAACACAUGCAAGUCGAGCGCCCCGCAAGGGGAGCGGCAGACGGGAGAGUAACACGUGGGAACGUACCCUUUGGUUCGGAACAACCCAGGGAAACUUGGGCUAAUACCGGAUAAGUCCGUAAGGAGAAAGAUUUAUCGCCGAAGGAUCGGCCCGCGUCUGAUUAGCUUGUUGGUGAGGUAACGGCUCACCAAGGCGACGAUCAGUAGCUGGUCUGAGAGGAUGAUCAGCCUCACUGGGACUGAGACACGGCCCAGCCUCCUACGGGGGGCAGAAGUGGGGAAUAUGGGACAAGGGGGGCAACCCUGAUCCAGCCAUGCCGGGUGGGUGAUGAAGGCCUUAGGGUUGUAAAGCCCUUUCGGCGGGGAAGAUAAUGACGGUACCCGCAGAAGAAGCCCCGGCUAACUUCGUGCCAGCCGCCGCCGUAA